UCCGCCGCCUCUUGUGUUUCAGCUGCCUGCGAAUAGGGGCCAUGACAGGUGCUCGCGACCAUUAUCGGCCUCGCCGACACAGCGGCGGAAAAAUGACACGGUUCGAGCCGCGGAAUGCGGCGCCCGCUGCGAUCGGGCCCGAGAUGGAUGGGGGCUCAUUACUUGGCCCGCGUGCCCGUGAAAUGCGAAAAGUAGCACCCGCGCAUUUCCCGCGCGCCGAGCAGAAACGGGGGCGCUCUCCCGACGCGGGAGAACAAGAAGGUUCGCCGGCUUUCCUUGAACAGCGAGCGCGCGCCUCUUCACCGAUGCCUCACCACGCUUUCGCCAGAUGAGGCAAGUGCCCUGCGAACGCACAAAAAUGCUUUGGUCAAUAAUGUCGACUGCAACAAAUUACUUAUCUAUUUAGCAAGAACACAAAACUUGUGAAGGGUAGAAAUUCGGACUUGUUGGUACUACAUACUGCGAGUGAACCGCAAUAACCAAGAGCACGCAGGUACUAUUCCAUCGAUCCCGUUCUUUUUUUCCCCCCUUUUAUUGUGUCCAUGGCUUUCAACCGAAAUACAUGCAACCAUUGGAAGCGACCUCAAGAAGAAGAUGAUGAAAACAGAGGAGGGAACGGACAAAGGGAGGAUAAAAAAUUCUGCCGCUUAUCGUCAGCAGUGCGGAGCCCAGUUCAGCGACGGUGGACGUCACCUGGAUGAGCCGGUUGGAUCAAGCAGCAGUGACAUCGGCAACGGACAGCGGGCAUAUAAAGCCAACACUGCACUCGGCUACCUUCAGUGGGGACGGCAGCACGGCAGCGGCAAUGGCGCAUAACCACGCAUGGCUUGUCUUUCAGACAAGAAGUCGUCACCCUCGUUGUGAUACCGGAUCACAUGAGUCAAGGCCGUGCUGAACCUCUCAGUCUGCUGGUGGUGGUUCAAAAUCUUGGGCAUCCAUUGCGUACAAAAGAGCCGAUAACCGAG